rnacentral:misc_RNA from 1 species
GAGUCAGCGAGUCAGUCUUUGCGGGCAGAAGCAGGAACAAGUCCACAGUCAACUCCAGUCUCCACACGCCAAUCAAGAAGACAUUAUUUUUCCUUUCCCACUAAAAUCUCUCUCCAAAUCUGUCCUUUUUCUACUCCCAUCACCCUCGCUUGUUCUUCGCUCUGUUCAGCUUCAUUCCUCUUCUGUUCUGUUUCUUUUCCCUUGUUCCUUCCCACCUGAACUCGACCACUCAAAUAUAUAAUUUUUUUUAUUAUUAUUUUUGUAUGCUUCCUUGCAUAGUUACUCAUACAUAGAAAAAGAAGUUCAAGAAAAUCCCCCCAAGCUCGCGCUAAAAUGACAAGGUAUGUGUGUGGCACUCGCACCUCUGUGUUUUUGUCUUUGUCUUUGUCUUUGUCCUUUUUGUCCUUCUCACGGUCCCUCAACAGGACCACAUAAGGUCGUUCACCAACCAUCUCCACUUGGCACACAGAACGAGCAGCCCGCAUGAAAAUCACUGGAUCCCGCUGAAUAACAGAAGUCAAAUUUAACAGGAAAUUACGAGGUGUGAGCCUUCCACUUGACUGUCUAUUAGAAGCAGAAACAACAUUAUGCCGUAUCUCUGCUUCCAUAGCUUGCUGCAGAGUCUGGGGAUCCUCAAGAAUAUGUCUUAUUAUAGUAGCGGCAAUGUUGUCAAACCCAAUAAACAAGCUGCUGGUUGGCAAGGAAAGCAGCAACUGCAAACCACCAGCAUCCAGAAAGUUAACAGCAACAGAGUGAGUUCUUGUAAGAGUUGCACACAGCUGCAACACAGCAUGCAUUGUUUCCGAGGGAAGCUGGUUCCUCAUACAACCACAAGCUAUUUCAACAAGCUGCUUCUGCUCUUGACCAUCCAGAUAUUUUGGAGACAAAGAAGACUGCAACUUAUUAUACUUAUCCUCGUUGAUCGAAACUGAUUUCUGUGUAGCAUCAUCUCCCUUCAGCUGUUCUAGUAUAUCAGCAUUCACCUUCUGAUCCACUUGAGCAAGUCGAUCAAUUGCAACAAAAGCUGCUGUCACCCAUUUGGGAACUUUCUCCCUAUCAAAUGUACUGGAAAUCCAUUGUGAAAGAAGAUCAGAUGAGACACUCACCAAACCAGUCUUUGCAGCUAUCUCUCUGGCAUCAGUGUCUUCAUUAAGAAUCAGAGCAAGAACAUGAAAGAGAUUAAAAAGAAUGCUG